CCCUUUGUAGCUCAGCUGGAAGAGCGUGGGACUGUAAUCGGAUAUCUUGUCAUCCCAAGGCCAUCGGUUCGAUCCCGAUCGAAGGGA